UGGAUACCGCAGCUAGGAAUAAUGGAA
rnacentral:piRNA from 4 species